UCCUGUAACUCUUACUGUGCCCUGUUGUGUGAAUUCCCAGCAUCAGUGUUGCAGUGUCCUAGCGUAACAUAAUUAUCAAAGUGUUUAAUCUCUCCAGGGGUUUUGGUGGUGUGCUUGCAUGGGGAAGUAGUACUGUGUAUGUGAUAGGAGUGAAAAUUUAAAAUCUCCACCUGUUGGCACUUUAGCAGAUGGGGGAGGUUUUGUAACUGAGACAAUCACGUAAGAAAGUGAACUUAGAGCUGACUCAUGUCUGUGUGUGACUGUACUGUCCGAAUAAGAGCUGGAAUGUUUGCACAAAGACUCUGACACUCUACUGCCAGAUCAAGGACUUUGGCAGGACCCAGCUGAAAUCAGUGUCCACCAAAAGUUGAAGAUGGUUUAGCUAUCUUCACCGGGGGCAUCUGCUGUACGCAUUAUGUUGAAAAUAAGCGACCCAAAGCUUCAGAUUGUAAUUGUUCUCCACACCCCGUCAGCAUGCACAUUGGGAAAAAUUUGUUUUAACAAAUGAACUUUGAUGCAGCAAGAAAGAGACCAAAAUAAAGGAAAAUAAAGGCAGGCAGAAGGUGAGCUAAUCAGAAAGAG